CUCUCUGUGGGUCACACCUCUGGAGGCAUGGCUAAGGCUGCACGAGAAAAGACUUGCUUAAACCUUUCCUUGUGAGAAACCUCUGGGGAAGGGGGAGAUGGCUUUGCUCCAGGUCCGUUCUGGAGCUCGUCUUACUCAGAGGACGAAUUCCAGCUCUCUUGGCUCCUCUGAAAAUUUUCUACCCACAGUGUAUACUGCUGCUCUGGGACCCACCUUGCCUGUCUCAGAGGGAUGCAGUUGCUGUAGGCCAACAGAGGUAGAAGACAAACCCAGCAGCUACAAACUUAGCUUUUCCUGAAAACUGGGAAGAGAUUGCACUGAAGACAUGAUUUGCAUUGAAUUGCCUCCAGUCUCCUGUGAGGCACUGCAGGCGGCAAACUUUUAGGAGCGACGGGCACCGAGUAAGCAAAUGGGUCGCUUUGGCAUCUCGCUGCAACUGGGAG